GUGGAUUAGUGGCGAACGGGUGAGUAACACGUGGGCAACCUGCCCUUCACUCUGGGACAAGCCCUGGAAACGGGGUCUAAUACCGGAUAACACUCUGUCCCGCAUGGGACGGGGUUAAAAGCUCCGGCGGUGAAGGAUGAGCCCGCGGCCUAUCAGCUUGUUGGUGGGGUGAUGGCCUACCAAGGCGACGACGGGUAGCCGGCCUGAGAGGGCGACCGGCCACACUGGGACUGAGACACGGCCCAGACUCCUACGGGAGGCAGCAGUGGGGAAUAUUGCACAAUGGGCGAAAGCCUGAUGCAGCGACGCCGCGUGAGGGAUGACGGCCUUCGGGUUGUAAACCUCUUUCAGCAGGGAAGAAGCGAGAGUGACGGUACCUGCAGAAGAAGCGCCGGCUAACUACGUGCCAGCAGCCGCGGUAAUACGUAGGGCGCAAGCGUUGUCCGGAAUUAUUGGGCGUAAAGAGCUCGUAGGCGGCUUGUCACGUCGGAUGUGAAAGCCCGGGGCUUAACCCCGGGUCUGCAUUCGAUACGGGCUAGCUAGAGUGUGGUAGGGGAGAUCGGAAUUCCUGGUGUAGCGGUGAAAUGCGCAGAUAUCAGGAGGAACACCGGUGGCGAAGGCGGAUCUCUGGGCCAUUACUGACGCUGAGGAGCGAAAGCGUGGGGAGCGAACAGGAUUAGAUACCCUGGUAGUCCACGCCGUAAACGUUGGGAACUAGGUGUUGGCGACAUUCCACGUCGUCGGUGCCGCAGCUAACGCAUUAAGUUCCCCGCCUGGGGAGUACGGCCGCAAGGCUAAAACUCAA
rnacentral:rRNA from 1 species